rnacentral:rRNA from 1 species
UACGGAGGGUGCAAGCGUUAUCCGGAUUUACUGGGUUUAAAGGGUGUGUAGGCGGACUAUUAAGUCAGCGGUGAAAUCUCCGGGCUCAACCCGGAAACUGCCAUUGAUACUAUUAGUCUUGAAUGUUGUUGAGGUGGGCGGAACGGGUCAUGUAGCGGUGAAAUGCAUAGAUAUGACCCGGAACACCGAUUGCGAAGGCAGCCCACUAAGCAACGAUUGACGCUGAGGCACGAAAGCGUGGGGAUCAAACAGG